rfam:Lupinus angustifolius cultivar Tanjil contig_16436, whole genome shotgun sequence.
AUAUAUUAAUUGAGGGCAUAUAAAAUGCACAUGACAGUCUAUAGCCCCAGCUGUUACAAUGAAGCCCUCUCCGGCAAUAACUUCAGUGUUAGCCUAGACAUGGAUGAUAUGUAUAUAACUUGUAUCAAAAUUUUGAUGUAGCAAUUUAGCAUGCCGUUUCUGAUAUCUGGAAUGGAACUUACCCCAAUGAUCAUAUUAAGAAAGACACCAUCCAUAAUGUCUGGAUUUCCUGCUUUUCCAAUCGAGACAAUAAGACCAUCUUUAAUACCGAUAUCUGCUUUGAUAAUUCCAGAAUAGUCAAUUAUGACAGCAUUUGUUAUAACAGUAUCCAAGGAGUCCUUAGGUGGAUGGCCACAUGACUGACCCAUCCCAUCUCUUAU